rnacentral:rRNA from 1 species
GACGAACGCUGGCGGCGUGCUUAACACAUGCAAGUCGAACGGAAAGGCCCUGCUUUUGUGGGGUGCUCGAGUGGCGAACGGGUGAGUAACACGUGAGUAAACUGACCUUGACUCUGGGAUAACUUCAGGACACUGGGGCUAAUACCGGAUAGGAGCUCCUGCUGCAUGGUGGGGGUUGGAAAGUUUCGGCGGUUGGGGCUGGACUCGCGGCUUUUCAGCUUGUUGGUGGGGUAGUGGCUUACCAAGGCUUUGACGGGUAGCCGGCCUGAGAGGGUGGCCGGCCACAUUGAGACUGAGAUACGGCCCAGACUCCUACGGGAGGCAGCAGUGGGGAAUAGUGCGCAGUGGGCGGAAGCCUGAUGCAGCAACGCCGCGUGCGGGAUGACGGCCUUCGGGUUGUAAACCGCUUUCGCCUGUGACGAAGCGUGAUUGACGGUAAUGGGUAAAGAAGCACCGGCUAACUACGUG